AUACGUAGGGAGCAAGCGUUAUCCGGAUUUACUGGGUGUAAAGGGCGCGUAGGCGGGACUGCAAGUCUAGGUGUGAAAUCUGGUGGCUCAACCACCAAACUGCACUUGAAACUGUGGUUCUUGAGUGAUGGAGAGGCAAGUGGAAUUCCUAGUGUAGCGGUGAAAUGCGUAGAUAUUAGGAGGAACACCAGUGGCGAAGGCGGCUCUCUGGUCUGCAACUGACGCUGAGGCUCGAAAGCAUGGGUAGC
rnacentral:rRNA from 1 species